CACGUAGGGCGCAAGCGUUGUCCGGAAUUAUUGGGCGUAAAGAGCUCGUAGGCGGUCUGUUGCGUCCGCUGUGAAAACCCAGGGCUUAACCCUGGGCUGGCAGUGGAUACGGACAGACUAGAGGUAGGUAGGGGAGAAUGGAAUUCCCGGUGUAGCGGUGAAAUGCGCAGAUAUCGGGAGGAACACCCGUAGCGAAGGCGGCACUCUGGGCCGAUUCUGACACUGAGGAGCGAAAGCGUGGGGAGCGAACAGG
rnacentral:rRNA from 1 species